AGAGUUUGAAGAAAUUUGUUUUAAAAACAGCGGUAUGGAGUUCUGGAUUCAUAGUUUGGUUGGUCAGAAAUUGGAGGAAAGGACGACCGAGUUUAAAGGAUUUGUUGUAUCUGAGUUUCAAAGAGAGAAUGGACCAGUUUCUGCCACCCAGAGUCGUUAAGAAAUUGCAUAUCAUUUGUAGUUACAUAAUGAAUAGUGUAUCUAGAAGAAAUUUAAGAAUAGAAGUGAUGUUAAAAGUUGGUUUAAAAGUCUAGAAGUUUUUCGACUAUAGACUCUGCACCUAGUGGGGUCCAUGGUCGGCGCGGUCCGUUCUUGAACUAGUAGGUG